UACAUGGGGUGCAAACGUUGCUCGGAAUUAUUGGGCGUAAAGCGCGCGUAGGCGGUUACUUAAGUCGGAUGUGAAAGCCCUCGGCUUAACUGAGGAAGUGCACCCGAAACUGAGUAGCUAGAGUACGAAAGAGGGUCGCGGAAUUCCCGGUGUAGAGGUGAAAUUCGUAGAUAUCGGGAGGAACACCGGUGGCGAAGGCGGCGACCUGGGUCGAGACUGACGCUGAGACGCGAAAGCGUGGGGAGCAAACAGG
rnacentral:rRNA from 1 species